rnacentral:tRNA from 1 species
GUGCCCAUAGCUCAGCCGGAUAGAGCAACUGCCUUCUAAGCAGUAGGUCGCAGGUUCGAUUCCUGCUGGGCACG